AGUCGUAACAAGGUCUCCGUUGGUGAACCAGCGGAGGGAUCAUUACCGAGUUUACAACUCCCAAACCCAAUGUGAACCAUACCAAACUGUUGCCUCGGCGGGGUCACGCCCCGGGUGCGUCGCAGCCCCGGAACCAGGCGCCCGCCGGAGGGACCAACCAAACUCUUUCUGUAGUCCCCUCGCGGACGUUAUUUCUUACAGCUCUGAGCAAAAAUUCAAAAUGAAUCAAAACUUUCAACAACGGAUCUCUUGGUUCUGGCAUCGAUGAAGAACGCAGCGAAAUGCGAUAAGUAAUGUGAAUUGCAGAAUUCAGUGAAUCAUCGAAUCUUUGAACGCACAUUGCGCCCGCCAGUAUUCUGGCGGGCAUGCCUGUCCGAGCGUCAUUUCAACCCUCGAACCCCUCCGGGGGGUCGGCGUUGGGGAUCGGGAACCCCUAAGACGGGAUCCCGGCCCCGAAAUACAGUGGCGGUCUCGCCGCAGCCUCUCCUGCGCAGUAGUUUGCACAACUCGCACCGGGAGCGCGGCGCGUCCACGUCCGUAAAACACCCAACUUCUGAAAUGUUGACCUCGGAUCAGGUAGGAAUACCCGCUGAACUUAAGCAUAUCAAUAAGCGGAGGAA
rnacentral:misc_RNA from 1 species